AUUUAUAUAGGUGUGUCAUUGGAGCCCUAGAAGAGAAUGUUUUUCUUAAGUGUUAGCCUGAGGAGUAGCUGGGCUUCUGAACAAUUGGUUUGUAUAUGGAAUUAUAUCAUUAUAAAGACAUUUUUUUUUUUGUCUGCCUAGCUCUUUUCCUUUCUGAAGCUGCCCCUGAAUAAUGAUGCUUUCCUGGUGCGACUGUUAAUCACAUAGAUUUAAUUCCCCUGCCCAUGGGAGGGGAAUUGGCUAGAGAUUGUUUCCCACAUUGUCCUGAAUCUGGACUACAAUAAAACUAAAGGUUUAUUUCUAACGUAUCAAAAGAAACAGAAUCUCCUUCUCCUGGAUACAUGAUACAACACAGUUGUCUCUCAUGUCAGAAGUCAUGAUUACGAGAAUAGCACACUUUAGCCCAUAUCCUUGUACCCAGCACUGUACUCGAUGCUCUGUGGAUGCAACCUCAAUGGUAAAAUAAUUUAAGCUCAAAGUAAGAUAUUCUUUCAAUAAGAUGUAGACCUCUUACUGCAAACUCCUUUUGCAAAUUACCACUUGGUAAUCUCU
rnacentral:lncRNA from 1 species